rnacentral:rRNA from 1 species
GCCAGUGGCGAUAGCACGUUGAACGCACUAGUUCUCGAUGGAUCACUGAAGUUAAGCAACUUUGCACGUGGCUGGUAUCCGGAUGGGUGAUCUCCUAAACUGUCUUCCUUCUCUCU